GACGAACGCUGGCGGCGUGCUUAACACAUGCAAGUCGAACGGAAAGGCCCUGCUUUUGUGGGGUGCUCGAGUGGCGAACGGGUGAGUAACACGUGAGUAACCUGCCCUUGACUUUGGGAUAACUUCAGGCAACUGGGGCUAAUACCGGAUAGGAGCUCCUGCUGCAUGGUGGGGGUUGGAAAGUUUCGGCGGCUGGGGAUGGACUCGCGGCUUAUCAGCUUGUUGGUGGGGUAGUGGCUUACCAAGGCUUUGACGGGUAGCCGGCCUGAGAGGGUGACCGGCCACAUUGGGACUGAGAUACGGCCCAGACUCCUACGGGAGGCAGCAGUGGGGAAUAUUGCACAAUGGGCGGAAGCCUGAUGCAGCAACGCCGCGUGCGGGAUGACGGCCUUCGGGUUGUAAACCGCUUUCGCCUGUGACGAAGCGUGAGUGACGGUAAUGGGUAAAGAAGCACCGGCUAACUACGUG
rnacentral:rRNA from 1 species